AGUAAGAGCAAAAUGAGCCCCUUCAGAGAGUGCUGCAUGUCCAUGUCGGCAUUCUGGUGACCUGUUCUUAAGCCCCAGGCAGCAGUUUCUGCUUGAGCGUGUAGCAAGUUCUACUACAUCACAGUUGGAGACAUGGGGGGCAGCAAACAAACCCUGCAUGUUGACUGUGUCCUCGGUUAGUUCCAGCUCUUACACAUCAUAGAGUCAUAGAACCAGAGAAUCAUAGACAGUCUAGAGCUGGAAGGUACCUUAAAUAUGUUCUAGCUCCAACCAAUCUAUCAUGGAUGAGCAUGCUCCCUCAGCCUCUCCUCAUAGGAGAGAUGUUGCAGUCCCUAGUGAUAUCAGUCUUACUCCAAAGUUAUGCUGAUCUUUCUGGGUAUAGACAAGGCCUCUGGAGGCACCAUAGUGAGUGGGACUGGCACUGACGCAAGCAUGAUGAGUCCAAGGUACCAAGGAGCAAUAAUUCAGAAAUUCUUGGUUUCUGCCUAUAGAAAGAUAAGAAGACAUCCAGUUUAUUAUUGGAAAGUUCCCCUCCUUUUUGAGUCUCAAGAAGUUGGAAACAAUUCCUCCAUGGCCCAUUUUUGUGCUACAUAA
rnacentral:lncRNA from 1 species